UUCAAAACAUGUAAAAUUAAAAAAUAUAAUGUAGCAAUAAGUUUUGUAUUGCUAUGCCAUCUAUGUGUUGUAUACCAAAAUAAUAGUGGCCUGCAACAAUAAAAAAAAUGACAAGGAAUGCAAGCAUUGGGAGAAGCUUUGAGCUUUGCAAAGUGCUGUAUAUGAAGGAAGGUACCUAAAGAACAGAAAAUUUAUGGAACACAUUGCCAUUGGAAGUUGUCAAGUAAACAAAUGUAAACAGUUUCAAGAGAAAAUUAGACAAAUAUUUAGUAUCA
rnacentral:lncRNA from 1 species